CAGAGAUUUACAGACUCCAUCCCACAUCUCUGAGAUCCACUGGAUCCAAGAAGAGCUGCUGCAACAGUCCCACCAUCAUCAUCUGCCACCAGGACGGAAAGAUACUGAGCUUUGUCUAAUUGUCUCAAGAGAGAAGCUGCUCUGACAACAUCUGAUUCUUCUCUGUGCCUUUUCGGGGACAAGAGGGACUCAAGAUGCCAGAACCUACAAAGAAAGAUGAGGUGCCAAAUGGGCAACCUGAAGAAACGGUUGUCCCUGAAACUGUUUCCCCUGAAAGUGUUCCCUCCGAAAGUAAGGAUGCCCUGCCUUUACCUGAGAUUUCCUUGAAGGUUUCAC